GGGUCGGUGCCCGAGUGGUUAAAGGGGGCGGAUUGUAAAUCCGCUGGGCAACCUACGUUGGUUCAAAUCCAACCCGGCCUA
rnacentral:tRNA from 1 species